rnacentral:snRNA from 1 species
GCAUCUGAGGGCAGUUUGGCUGCAACUGCAGCCCUAUCCAUCCACAGACCUGAUGCUGUUUAUUUACAUGACUAGGCCAGGGUCCCUUUCUUCUCUCACCACUUCAUGGGCAUCCCUCUUGAAACUGCACACUUGGUGAUAGAGGUUGAUGUUCUCUGAACUAUUUCUUAGUCAAAGAUACAAGAGUAGCUGUAAUCCCAUUCCAGAACCUUCAAACAAGCUCUCGAGAGUAAGAACUGGACUCAACAUGGUGGCACAGACUUCUAAUUCCAGCACUCAGGAGAAGGAGGCAGACAGAUUUCUAGAAUGAGGCUAGCCUUGUCUA